rnacentral:rRNA from 1 species
UAACUAGGAUUCCCCAAGUAAUGGCGAAUGAAAGGGGAAGAGCCCAGCGCUGAAUCUCUCGGUCUUAGGCCGCUGAGAACUGUAGCGUAUAGGUGUGACUGUCCUGCUAUAUUGCAUUUCCGAAGUCUCUUUGAUAGGGGCCAACAUCCAGAGAGGGUGCGAGACCUGUACGGAAAGUAGUAUAGUUGGUAUGGUUACUCCUUGGAGUCGGGUUGCUUGAAAGUGCAGCCUAAAGUUGGUGAUAAACUUCAUCUAAGGCUAAAUAUCGACGCGAAAUCGAUAGCAAACAAGUACCGUGAGGGAAAGUUGCAAAGAACUUUGAAGAGAGAGUUCAAGAGAACGUGAAAUCGCUGAAGUGGAACCGGAGAGAGUUAACAUAACUUGGUAGCUAUAUCCUCUAAAGUCGCUUAACUGUGGCUCUGGGGGGUGGACGCUACCUGUUGUUGCACUGACUGCGUUGAUUGUGCUUUCCGAACAGUAUAGUGUUGCCCACUUUGUGGUGUCUUGCUUUCUGGGAGGUUUGUCAUAAUUAACGUAAAGCCAAUUCCCUUUGGAGUCAGUGUGAAAGUUAACCACCUUUCCGACCCGUCUUGAAACACGGACCGAGGAGUGUAAUUUAUACGCGAGUCAAGGGGUGGUGAAAACCCUAGGGGCGGAAUGAAAGUAAAGGCCGGUUAACCGGUUGACAUGGGAUCCGCUCUUCGGAGCGGCGCACCAUGGCCCUGUCUUGUCUGCUUGCAGAUGGGCAGCGGUAGAGCGUAUAGUUUGCGACCCGAAAGAUGGUGAACUAUGCUUGAGCAGGACGAAGCCAGAGGAAACUCUGGUGGAAGUCCGUAUCGGUUCUGACGUGCAAAUCGAUCGAUAGACUUGGGUAUAGGGGCGAAAGACUAAUCGAACCGUCUAGUAGCUGGUU